rnacentral:tRNA from 1 species
ACCUGGGUGGCUUACUUGGUUAAGCCUCUGACUUCAGCUCAGGUCAUGGUCUCAUAGCUUGUGGGUUCAAGUCCCGUGUCAGGCU